UGUACACACGUGCGUACGUGAGUCCCUAUUGAUUAACUGUUAUGUCCUUCAAGCAUGAAUUAAUUAACAUCUUUUGGUUAUUAUAUGCCACCCCGGAAUAUUCAAUAUAAGCUCAGCUUCUACAAUUGAUUCGUCAGUAAUUAAAUCCGAGUUUGCCUACAGUGGAUUUGGCAGGGACCAGGCCUUCCGCGAUGAGACUAUGGUUGAGAUUAAACAAAAUUAUCUCUAAGUAAAGCAUGAAAGUGCCUGGAAUAUAAAAGGCAAAGUAGAAUAAAAAGUAGCUGCUCUCCUGCUGAUGGUGAUUUCUAUGGCGAUGGUGACAAGGACGUUGACUCUCUACUUGGGAUUCAAGAAGCCUGGUCACAUCUGGAAAGGUUGACAAUCUAGGAAGGGAAGAGGAGUUCAUGCUUCAUGUGGUACACCUCCAACUCUCCUCUGAAGGAAAGAAGUAAAUUGUUAUAACAAAGAACACCAGCGAAGUCUUGUCAACAUCACUUUCUGAUGGCAAAGCCCGGUAAAGUUGAAUACAUGAAACUACAUUUCCCAAGAUCCUUUGCCAACUGGCUCGCCAUGAGAUUCAGCCAACGCAAUUCACAUUCUAUGAAUCUACUGGGGCCGGGCGUGUUGGC
rnacentral:lncRNA from 1 species